ACAAGGGAAGGCACCGCUCCUCCAUUAUUGCCUUGCUUCUCAACAAGGGAACUGAGAAGGGAACCACCAUUGCUCUUGCUCAUCUUGCUGCGUGCUCCAUCCAAAUCCAAAAUCCAAAUCCAACCAUGGCGCUCAAGAGGAAGAGUAGAUCCAUCGCCUUCCUCAACCGCCAUUGCUAGCUCCUGUAACUCAAGCAAGCUGCCAGGGGAUCUGGCUGGCGUUUCCAGGCGGUCGCUCAACACCCUACACCGGUCUUGCUGCAGCCGGCAGCGCCGGUAGGAAGAUUUCACCACAGAGCAUUUGGAGGCGGUUGCUCAAGCUGCCAGGGGUGCUGCUGCUUCUACUUGUUAUUUAACAUGAAAACUCCCGAACAAAUUUUUGAACACACGAAUAUUUUUUUAAAAAGGAACAUUUUUUGAAUUUCGUGAACAAGUCUUUUUGGAAAACAUGGAUUUCUUGAAAAUUCUGCAACUUUUGGAAAA